UGAGUUUAUUGCUUUGGAUUGGAAUAUAUCAAUUAAUUAAUAUUAUAUUUAAUUUGAAAAUGUGCAAUCAAGAAUCACGUGCUCCACUUGCAGUAGCAGACGAUAACAGCACUACACUGAUUGAAUUGAAUUAUUAUGGUUUGUGUUCAUAUUCACAUAUCUAAUAUCUAAUGAGUCAAGUCAAUAUCCAAACAUAUUAACAUAGUUCUUCUUUCUUUCAAAAAAAAAAAAACAUAGUUUUUCAAUACCUCAAAG
rnacentral:lncRNA from 1 species